GAUGAACGCUGGCGGCGUGCUUAACACAUGCAAGUCGAACGAUGAAGCCCAGCUUGCUGGGUGGAUUAGUGGCGAACGGGUGAGUAACACGUGAGUAACCUGCCCUUAACUCUGGGAUAAGCCUGGGAAACUGGGUCUAAUACCGGAUAGGAGCGUCCACCGCAUGGUGGGUGUUGGAAAGAUUUAUCGGUUUUGGAUGGACUCGCGGCCUAUCAGCUUGUUGGUGAGGUAAUGGCUCACCAAGGCGACGACGGGUAGCCGGCCUGAGAGGGUGACCGGCCACACUGGGACUGAGACACGGCCCAGACUCCUACGGGAGGCAGCAGUGGGGAAUAUUGCACAAUGGGCGCAAGCCUGAUGCAGCGACGCCGCGUGAGGGAUGACGGCCUUCGGGUUGUAAACCUCUUUCAGUAGGGAAGAAGCGAAAGUGACGGUACCUGCAGAAGAAGCACCGGCUAACUACGUGCCAGCAGCCGCGGUAAUACGUAGGGUGCGAGCGUUAUCCGGAAUUAUUGGGCGUAAAGAGCUCGUAGCGGUUUGUCGCGUCUGUCGUGAAAGUCCCGGGGCUUAACCCCCGGAUCUGCGGUGGGUACGGGCAGACUAGAGUGCAGUAGGGGAGACUGGAAUUCCUGGUGUAGCGGUGGAAUGCGCAGAUAUCAGGAGGAACACCGAUGGCGAAGGCAGGUCUCUGGGCUGUAACUGACGCUGAGGAGCGAAAGCAUGGGGAGCGAACAGGAUUAGAUACCCUGGUAGUCCAUGCCGUAAACGUUGGGCACUAGGUGUGGGGACCAUUCCACGGUUUCCGCGCCGCAGCUAACGCAUUAAGUGCCCCGCCUGGGGAGUACGGCCGCAAGGCUAAAACUCAAAGGAAUUGACGGGGGCCCGCACAAGCGGCGGAGCAUGCGGAUUAAUUCGAUGCAACGCGAAGAACCUUACCAAGGCUUGACAUGUUCUCGAUCGCCGUAGAGAUACGGUUUCCCCUUUGGGGCGGGUUCACAGGUGGUGCAUGGUUGUCGUCAGCUCGUGUCGUGAGAUGUUGGGUUAAGUCCCGCAACGAGCGCAACCCUCGUUCCAUGUUGCCAGCACGUAAUGGUGGGGACUCAUGGGAGACUGCCGGGGUCAACUCGGAGGAAGGUGAGGACGACGUCAAAUCAUCAUGCCCCUUAUGUCUUGGGCUUCACGCAUGCUACAAUGGCCGGUACAAUGGGUUGCGAUACUGUGAGGUGGAGCUAAUCCCAAAAAGCCGGUCUCAGUUCGGAUUGGGGUCUGCAACUCGACCCCAUGAAGUCGGAGUCGCUAGUAAUCGCAGAUCAGCAACGCUGCGGUGAAUACGUUCCCGGGCCU
rnacentral:rRNA from 1 species